GAUGAAGAACGCAGCGAAAUGUGAUAAGUAAUGUGAAUUGCAGAAUUCAGUGAAUCAUCGAAUCUUUGAACGCAUCUUGCGCUCCUUGGUAUUCUGAGGAGCAUGCCUGUUUGAGUGUCAUUAAAUUCUCAACUACACUGACUUUGAAUUGGUGUGGCUUGGAUUUGGGGGGAAAAUUGUUGUGGGCUUUUUGUAUAGUCUGCUCCCCUGAAAUUGAUUAGCGGUACCUUUGUGGAACUGUCUACAGGUGUGAUAAUUAUCUACAUCUUAGACAUCUGCUGGAAUGCUGCUUUCUAAACCUUACUUGUAUUGACAAUCUUGACCUCAAAUCCGGUAGGACUACCCGCUGAACUUAAGCAUAUCAAGCGGAGGA
rnacentral:misc_RNA from 1 species